GUGCUGGCUCCAGCUGCACAGAUGCUGAAAUUGGAAUGAUACAGAGAGGAUGGGCAUGGCCUCUGUGCAAGGAUGACACGCAAAUUCGUGAAGCGCUCCAUAUUAAA